CCGAGUGAAGCGGCAAAAGCUCAAAUUUGAAAUCUAGGCACUCUUCAGUGUUCGAGUUGUAAUUUGAAGAAGGUAACUUUGGUUUUGGCUCUUGUCUAUGUUCCUUGGAACAGGACGUCACAGAGGGUGAGAAUCCCGUGCGAUGAGAUGCCCAAUUCCAUGUAAAGUGCUUUCGAAGAGUCGAGUUGUUUGGGAAUGCAGCUCUAAGUGGGUGGUAAAUUCCAUCUAAAGCUAAAUAUUGGCGAGAGACCGAUAGCGAACAAGUACAGUGAUGGAAAGAUGAAAAGAACUUUGAAAAGAGAGUGAAAAAGUACGUGAAAUUGUUGAAAGGGAAGGGCUUGAGAUCAGACUUGGUAUUUUGCGUUCCCUUCCUUUUUGGUUGGGUUCCUCGCAGUUUACUGGGCCAGCAUCGGUUUGGAUGGUAGGAUAAUGACAUUGGAAUGUAGCUUUACUUCGGUGAAGUGUUAUAGACUUUGGUGAUACUGCCUAUCUAGACCGAGGACUGCGUCUUUGACUAGGAUGCUGGCGUAAUGAUCUUAAGCCGCCCGUCUUGAAACACGGACCA
rnacentral:rRNA from 1 species